CAGCAAAGCAGUGGAUCUCCCAGCCAGCCAGAGAAGGAUUUGAAGGUGUCUUUCAAGCUGGAGAACCCGGGGUGCUUUAUUCAGCUAGAAGUUGUGUGAAGAUCUAAAAUGAGAACACGUUGAGAUGAAAAGAGGCUCCAAGAAGCUGAGCAGCCUCAGGAGCCCUGAAAGAAGGACCAGCUCAGAAUUCCUUGAUGGAAAAUACCCUCACCCCGACACCAGCUCUCAGUUGUGUUCAUUCAUGGCAGGGUUUCCUUCCGAACUGGCUACACAGUGGAUAAAAAAUUAGGUUAAUUUAUGGAGAAAUAGUUCUUGGAAUGAACCAGACCAUUGAGUUAUUCCAGCAGCAGAACUUCCACUCCAUGUCCCUGCUUCAAAGUUGGGAAAUUUUGAAGUAAACCUCUGUGUGUUUGUGUUGCAGUGAUGAAGAAAUGCACAGGAAAUAAA